rfam:Triticum aestivum genome assembly, contig: Triticum_aestivum_CS42_TGACv1_scaffold_471436_6AL
CCUCUACUCCCUCCGUCCGAAAAUACUUGUCAUUAAAAUGCAUAAAAAGGGAUGUAUCUAGAACUAAAAUACGUUUACAUACAUCUCCUUUUAUCAAUUUUGAUGACAAGUAUUUCCGGAUGGAGGGAGUACUUC